UACGUAGGGGGCAAGCGUUGUCCGGAAUCAUUGGGCGUAAAGAGCGUGUAGGCGGUCCGGUCAGUCGGUUGUGAAAGUCAAGGGCUCAACCCUUGAAUGCCGGCCGAUACUGCCGGGCUAGAGUCCGGAAGAGGUGAGUGGAAUUCCUGGUGUAGCGGUGAAAUGCGUAGAGAUCGGGAGGAACAUCAGUGGCGAAGGCGGCCAUCUGGGACAACACUGACGCUGAAGCACGAAAGCGUGGGGAGCAAACAGG
rnacentral:rRNA from 1 species